rnacentral:rRNA from 1 species
AUCCGCCAGGGAACUACGAGCAUUAGCUUAAAACCCAAAGGACUUGGCGGUGCUUUAGACCCACCUAGAGGAGCCUGUUCUAGAACCGAUAACCCCCGUUCAACCUCACCCUCUCUUGUCAUUUCCGCCUAUAUACCGCCGUCGUCAGCUUACCCUGUGAAGGAACUAUAGUAAGCAAAACUAGUAAAACCCAAAACGCCAGGUCGAGGUGUAGCAUAUGAGAGGGGAAGAAAUGGGCUACAUUCCCUACCCCAGGGAACACGAACAAUAUGAUGAAAAGCACAUUAGAAGGAGGAUUUAGCAGUAAGCAAAAAAUAGAGUGUU